rnacentral:rRNA from 1 species
GAGAUUUCUGCCUGUCUCGUGGGCUCGGAGAUGUGUAUAAGAGACAGGCAUUUAGGUGCAGCGUUGCGUGUUUCUUGCCGGAGGUAGAGCACUGGAUAGCCGAUGGGCCCGACCAGGUUACUGACGUUAACCAAACUCCGAAUGCCGGUAAGUGAGAGCGCAGCAGUGAGACUGCGGGGGAUAAGCUCCGUAGUCGAGAGGGAAACAGCCCAGACCAUCAGCUAAGGCCCCUAAGCGGUGACUAAGUGGAAAAGGAUGUGGAGUCGCACUGACAACCAGGAGGUUGGCUUGGAAGCAGCCACCCUUGAAAGAGUGCGUAAUAGCUCACUGGUCAAGUGAUUCCGCGCCGACAAUGUAGCGGGGCUCAAGUCAUCCGCCGAAGCUAUGGCAUUCACAUAAGCCCAGCACCCACUUGAUGGGUGUUCAGGUGUGUGGAUGGGUAGGGGAGCGUCGUGUCGCGAGUGAAGCGCCGGAGUGAUCCAGGUGUGGAUGCGACACGAGUGAGAAUGCAGGCAUGAGUAGCGAAUCACGUGUGAGAAACACGUGCGCCGAAUGAUCAAGGGUUCCAGGGUCAAGCUAAUCUGCCCUGGGUAAGUCGGGACCUAAGGCGAGGCCGACAGGCGUAGUCGAUGGACAACGGGUUGAUAUUCCCGUACCGGCAAAGUAGCGCCCAUGACGAACCUGGUGAUGCUAACCAUCUGAAACAUCCGUGAUCGGACCCUUCGGGGCGAGACGCGGGUGCGUAGCGUGGGACCCGAACUGGUAGUAGUCAAGCGAUGGGGUGACGCAGGAAGGUAGUCCAACCGUACCGAUGGUUGUGUACGGCUAAGCAUGUAGGGCGAGAUCUAGGCAAAUCCGGAUCUCUGACUUCGAUGUCGGGCUUGAGAUGUGAUGGGGACCCCGUUGGGGGGAAGUGGAUGAUCCUAUGCUGUCGAGAAAAACCUCUAGCGAGCUAUGCGCCGCCCGUACCCCAAACCGACUCAGGUGAUCAGGUAGAGAAUACUAAGGCGAUCGAGCGAACCACGGUUAAGGAACUCGGCAAAAUGCCCCCGUAACUUCGGGAGAAGGGGGGCCCGGAACGUGAACACCCUUGCGGUGGGAGCGGGAAGGGCCGCAGAGACCAGGCCCAAGCGACUGUUUACUAAAAACACAGGUCCGUGCGAAGUUGUAAGACGAUGUAUACGGACUGACUCCUGCCCGGUGCUGGAAGGUUAAGAGGACCUGUUAGGUAGCAAUACCGAAGCGGAGAAUUUAAGCCCCAGUAAACGGCGGUGGUAACUAUAACCAUCCUAAGGUAGCGAAAUUCCUUGUCGGGUAAGUUCCGACCUGCACGAAUGCUGUCUCUUAUACACAUCUGACGCUGCCG